GCCUCCAACUCAUUGAUCUGUAAUGCAAAAUCCACAGAUCACUAUCCUCCUAAGGGGAAGGCCUGUGGUUCGAAUCCACAUGGGGGCGCCA
rnacentral:tRNA from 1 species